GACGAACGCUGGCGGCGUGCUUAACACAUGCAAGUCGAGCGGGAUCCAACCGGUGGCAACACCGGGGAAGAUCUAGCGGCGAACGGGUGAGUAACACGUGAGCAACCUGCCCCGAAGACUGGGAUAACACCGGGAAACCGGUGCUAAUACCGGAUGUCGUCAUUAGGCCGCAUGACCUGAUGAUGAAAGGAUUCAUCGCUUCGGGAGGGGCUCGCGGGCUAUCAGCUUGNGGUGGGGUAACGGCCUACCAAGGCGACGACGGCUAGCUGGUCUGAGAGGACGACCAGCCACACUGGGACUGAGACACGGCCCAGACUCCUACGGGAGGCAGCAGUGGGGAAUCUUGCGCAAUGGGCGAAAGCCUGACGCAGCAACGCCGCGUGGGGGAUGAAUGCCUUCGGGUUGUAAACCCCUUUC
rnacentral:rRNA from 1 species